rfam:Pseudomonas floridensis strain GEV388 GEV-388_contig_154, whole genome shotgun sequence.
GGGGCAGCCGGCAUGGAUGCCGGCUGAGCCGCACUGGGCCAUGGAUGUCCCAUUUGCGGCGACCCC